rnacentral:rRNA from 1 species
AUGAAAGGAACUUCGGUUCUUUUUGAUGGCGACCGGCGCACGGGUGCGUAACGCGUAUCGAACCUGCCUCAUACUCGGGGAUAGCCUUGCGAAAGUAAGAUUAAUACCCGGCGGUCUCGGAUGGCCGCAUGACUAUCCGAGUGAAGAUUUAUCGGUAUGAGAUGGCGAUGCGUCCCAUUAGCUUGUUGGUGAGGUAAUGGCUCACCAAGGCAUCGAUGGGUAGGGGUUCUGAGAGGAAGGUCCCCACAUUGGAACUGAGACACGGUCCAAACUCC